GAUGAACGCUGGCGGCGUGCCUAACACAUGCAAGUCGAGCGAAAAGACGAGGAGUUCGCUCCUCUGUCGUUAGCGGCGGAUGGGUGAGUAACAAGUGGAUAACCUAUCUAUAAGACUGGGCUUACUUCGGGAACCCGGAGCCAAUAUCGGAUUAUAUAUUGAACUGCAUGGUUCUAUCGUGGAUGACGGUUUUGUUGUUACUUAUAGAUGGAUCCGCGCCGCAUUAGCUACUUGGUAAGGUAACGGCUUACCAAGGCAACGAUGGGUAGCCGACCUGAGAGGGUGAUCGGCCACACUGGAACUGAGACACGGUCCAGACUCCUACGGGAGGCAGCAGUAGGGAAUCUUCCGCAAGGGGCGAAAGCCGGACGGUGCAGCGCCGCGGGAGUGAUGAAGGUCUUCGGAUCGUAAAUCUCUGUUAUUAGGGAAGAACAAAUGUGUAAGUAGCUAUGCACGUCUUGACGGUACCUAAACAGAAAGCCACGGCUAACUACGUG
rnacentral:rRNA from 1 species